GUCCACGCCGUAAACGAUGGAUGCUAGCCGUUGGUAAGCAUGCUUAUCAGUGGCGCAGCUAACGCAUUAAGCAUCCCGCCUGGGGAGUACGGCCGCAAGGUUGAAACUCAAAGGAAUUGACGGGGGCCCGCACAAGCGGUGGAGCAUGUGGUUUAAUUCGACGCAACGCGCAGAACCUUACCAGGCCUUGACAUCCCGUGCUAAGCCCAGAAAUGGGUGGUCCCCGCAAGGGGCGCGGAGACAGGUGCUGCAUGGCUGUCGU
rnacentral:rRNA from 1 species